rnacentral:rRNA from 1 species
CCUACGGGUGGCUGCAGUGAGGAAUAUUGGUCAAUGGGCGCGAGCCUGAACCAGCCAAGUAGCGUGAAGGAUGACUGCCCUACGGGUUGUAAACUUCUUUUAUAAAGGAAUAAAGUGAGGCACGUGUGCCUUUUUGUAUGUAUUUUAUGAAUAAGGAUCGGCUAACUCCGUGCCAGCAGCCGCGGUAAUACGGAGGAUCCGAGCGUUAUCCGGAUUUAUUGGGUUUAAAGGGAGCGUAGAUGGGUUGUUAAGUCAGUUGUGAAAGUUUGCGGCUCAACCGUAAAAUUGCAAUUGAUACUGGCAGCCUUGAGUACAGUUGAGGUAGGCGGAAUUCGUGGUGUAGCGGUGAAAUCCGUAGAGAUCAAGAGGAAUACUCAUUGCGAAGGCGACCUGCUAGAACAUAACUGACGCUGAUGCGCGAAAGCGUGGGGAGCAAACAGGAUUAGAUACCCCAGUAGUC